rnacentral:rRNA from 1 species
AAAGGAAUUGACGGGGGCCCGCACAAGCGGAGGAACAUGUGGUUUAAUUCGAUGAUACGCGAGGAACCUUACCCGGGCUCAAACGUAACCGGAAUAAAUUGGAAACAGUUUAGCUAGCAAUAGUCGGUUACGAGGUGCUGCAUGGUUGUCGUCAGCUCGUGCCGUGAGGUGUCGGCUUAAGUGCCAUAACGAGCGCAACCCCCAUUGAUAGUUGCCAUCGAGUAAAGUCGGGCACUCUAUCGAGACUGCCGGCGCAAGCUGUGAGGAAGGCGGGGAUGACGUCAAAUCAGCACGGCCCUUACGUCCGGGGCGACACACGUGUUACAAUGGCAGGUACAGAGGGCAGCCAUCUGGCGACAGAGCGCGAAUCUCCAAAACCUGUCUCAGUUCGGAUCGGAGUCUGCAACUCGACUCCGUGAAGCUGGAUUCGCUAGUAAUCGCGCAUCAGCCAUGGCGCGGUGAAUACGUUCCCGGGCCUUGUACACACCGCCCGU